CCUACGGGUGGCAGCAGUGGGGAAUAUUGCACAAUGGGCGCAAGCCUGAUGCAGCCAUGCCGCGUGUGUGAAGAAGGCCUUCGGGUUGUAAAGCACUUUCAGCGGGGAGGAAGGCGUUAAGGUUAAUCACCUUGUCGCUUGACGGUACCCGCAGAAGAAGCACCGGCUAACUACGUGCCAGCAGCCGCGGUAAUACGGAGGGUGCAAGCGUUAAUCGGAAUUACUGGGCGUAAAGCGCACGCAGGCGGUCUGUCAAGUCGGAUGUGAAAUCCCCGGGCUCAACCUGGGAACUGCAUUCGAAACUGGCAGGCUAGAGUCUUGUAGAGGGGGGUAGAAUUCCAGGUGUAGCGGUGAAAUGCGUAGAGAUCUGGAGGAAUACCGGUGGCGAAGGCGGCCCCCUGGACAAAGACUGACGCUCAGGUGCGAAAGCGUGGGGAGCAAACAGGAUUAGAUACCCUAGUAGUC
rnacentral:rRNA from 1 species